GUUGACAGCUUGUUUGUCUUGUUUCUGUCCUGAAUGUGAGGAAGACGUAUGAAGAGCUGCAGAGAGGACACAUUUAUCUACAUGUGGACAGGAGGACGUCACACUGCAUCCUUUCAUUUCAUGUGAAUUAUUACAGACGUUGAUGCUACUUCCAGGUUCAUCAAGAUGAUCUUCACUCAUUAACAACACUUUAAUGAUGUUUCCUUUCAGCAGAAGUAAGACACUAACUUUAAAGCUACUUGUGGUCCUGCAGCUCAUGCUAAUGAGGUAAAGAGGAAGGAAGCCCUGCUGGGGUUGAACAGCAGCUUAGUACCAACUCCAGAAGAGAGGAGCUGACCUCAGAGACAUCAGCCUCCUCUUUAGUGUAGACGUGUUGGUGGUGACUUAGUGAAUAAAGAGUUUCUGAUCUGCUGAUUCAACACAGAGGAGCAGCUAUGAGUUCAUCAGCCGGUGGAUUAGUCGUCUUCCUUCUCUCUGUACAAGUGAUACAGAGUCAGGAUGGAUGGGGAGUGACUUACCGUCAGACUGAGGUCUGUGCUGCAAAAGGAUCAACUGUGUAUAUAUUCUGUGACUACACACACCCACCUGGAAUAAAUACCUCUGAUAUAAAGGACAGAUUCUGGUUCACUAAAGAGAAAGAUGGUGAACCUGUGAAUCUGAGAACAGACUCUGAGUAUUCAGACCGUGUGAAGUACGAUUGUUAUAAGAAGAGAUGCACUCUGACCAUCACAAACCUGAGAGAGAGCGACUCAGCUGAGUACAAAUUCACAUUCAGGACAAACAAAGGAGAGAAAUAUACUGGUUCACCUGGAGUCACUUUUUCCGUCACAGGUCUCCAGGUGCAGGUGAGCAGAUCAGAUUCUACCUGGUUGGAGCUGACGUGUCACAGCAGCUGUGAUCUGUCUCAUCGUCCUGAAUACAACUGGUACAAGAAUGAAGUGUACUUCAAGAGAGGAUCUUCUCUUCUAGUCUCCUCUGGUUCUACAGACAGAUAUUCCUGUGAUUUAAGAGGAUCUUCUGGUCAUCAUUCUCCUGCAGUGUGUAAGUUGACUCCAGUGUGUUGGCCUGUGGAGCUUCAACAACAUUUCAUAUGGAGACACCAGACCGCUGCAUGUAAACUAGAGGCAUCAAAAAGAUGAAGCACCACAUUCCUCAGGAGGUGGAGCCGUGGUCCACUGACCAGAGGGUCGCUGGUUCAAUCCCCGGCCCCUGCAGUCUACGUGUAGAAGUGUCACUCACAUACUGACACAACAAUAUGAUUCUAAUCACAGCUGUAAACACACUGGAGUCUAAAUGUUAAAGUACACACAGCUGCUUAUUGAUGUCAUUCUGUUAUUAAUAGAAACUCAAAUAUAAACUAUUACCAGACAGAAUAAUAUGAUGUUCAUAAAGACUCAAGUGAAUUCUUCCAGAACAGAAGUAGAAGUGAUGUGUCAGCUGGGUGGAGGAAACAAUCAAUAACUCCUCCAACAACUAGAAGUGAGAGGACAGACUCAGCUAAGGACACAAGCAGCAUCUAAAGAGAAGAAUGUGUGGAGAUAUGAACAUUACAAAGGAUUAAAGGCUGCUUAUUGUCACUUUACACCAGCAGGAGUCUCACCUGUGACACCUGCUGUGAUGAAGAACAGAGAAAGACACACAAGUAUUCAUUCAAAGGAUCAACUAUCUACACUGACAUCUUCUAACCUCUUAGUGUGUUUAUUCAUGUCUCCUCCAGAUGGUCCACAGCGUCCCUCUGUGUCAGUGAGUUCCUCUGCUGAGAUGAUGGAGGGUGAUUCAGUGACUCUGACCUGUAGCGCUGAUGCUAACCCAGCAGCUAGCUACACCUGGUACAAGGAGGAUGGAACUUCAGACCCUCGUCUUCUCAGUGAAGAACCUCAGCUGGUCUUCAGCUCCAUCCAGUCCUCUGACUCUGGAAGGUAUUCCUGUGCAGCUGAGAACCAGCUGGGGAGGAAGAGGUCUGACUUCAUCUCUAUCGAUGUGA